UCUCAUGGACAUAGUUUUGUCAUGAUUAUGAACCUUGUUAUCAUUAUGUGUAUUACAAUUUUGGUUAUUAAUAUAUACCAUACAAUACAAUGCGUAUACGACGAAAGUCAGAAAUUCUUUUAUAUUCCAUAUACCGUGGAAUGGUAUAAUUUAUCGUUAUCGAUACAGAAAUUGCUACUUUCGAUUAUACAAGGAAACAAUCACUCAGCAGUAUUAAAUUUCUAUGGUAUAUGGAUACCUACGUUCAAAAAUUUGAGCGCGGUAAGAAAUAUUUCCGCGAGAAUCCAAAAUACAUAAAAUGAGAAAGAAAUACUUUUCCAGCAAUUCAAAUUAUCUUGGUCCUACCUUAUGCUAUUGUAUUCCACUCAAAACUAGUGACAACGAUCGUAGCACAUUAGCGGAUCAUACGAGAACAUGAUAUACCAGUUGACAUACGUUAUUAUUGCCACUAUAAGAUGAUAAUUUAUACUAACAUUGCACGCAUUUGGAAUAUGAUAUAAUGCACCGGAAUAAAAGUAUACUUGGAGUUCAUUCAUUACGUGAAAAGCAUGACUAAAGAUAAGUGAUGGUUUCUUUAGGUGUCAGAAAGGA